rnacentral:rRNA from 1 species
GUUCGACGCUGGCGGCGUGCCUAUACAUGCAGUCCAGCGGACUUUAAAAGCUUGCUUUUAAAGUUAGCGGCGGACGGGUGAGUAACACGUGGGCAACCUGCCUGUAAGACUGGGAUAACUUCGGGAAACCGGAGCUAAUACCGGAUAAUCCUUUUCCUCUCAUGAGGAAAAGCUGAAAGACGGUUUACGCUGUCACUUACAGAUGGGCCCGCGGCGCAUUAGCUAGUUGGUGAGGUAACGGCUCACCAAGGCGACGAUGCGUAGCCGACCUGAGAGGGUGAUCGGCCACACUGGGACUGAGACACGGCCCAGACUCCUACGGGAGGCAGCAGUAGGGAAUCUUCCGCAAUGGACGAAAGUCUGACGGAGCAACGCCGCGUGAGUGAUGAAGGUUUUCGGAUCGUAAAACUCUGUUGUUAGGGAAGAACAAGUACAAGAGUAACUGCUUGUACCUUGACGGUACCUAACCAGAAAGCCACGGCUAACUACGUGCCAGCAGCCGCGGUAAUACGUAGGUGGCAAGCGUUGUCCGGAAUUAUUGGGCGUAAAGCGCGCGCAGGCGGUCCUUUAAGUCUGAUGUGAAAGCCCACGGCUCAACCGUGGAGGGUCAUUGGAAACUGGGGGACUUGAGUGCAGGACGAGAAGAGUGGAAUUCCACGUGUAGCGGAUGAAAUGCGUAGAGAUGUGGAGGACACCAGUGGCGAGCGACUCUAUGGUCUGUACUGACGCUGAGGCGCGAAGCGUGGGGGAGCAACAGAUUAGAUACCCUGGCUAGUCCACGCCGUAACGAUGA